rnacentral:rRNA from 1 species
GAUGAACGCUGGCGGCGUGCCUAAUACAUGCAAGUCGAGCGAACAGACGAGGAGCUUGCUUCUCUGACGUUAGCGGCGGACGGGUGAGUAACACGUGGAUAACCUACCUAUAAGACUGGGAUAACUUCGGGAAACCGGAGCUAAUACCGGAUAAUAUAUUGAACCGCAUGGUUCAAUAGUGAAAGACGGUUUUGCUGUCACUUAUAGAUGGAUCCGCGCCGCAUUAGCUAGUUGGUAAGGUAACGGCUUACCAAGGCAACGAUGCGUAGCCGACCUGAAAGGGUGAUCGGCCACACUGGAACUGAGACACGGUCCAGACUCCUACGGGAGGCAGCAGUAGGGAAUCUUCCGCAAUGGGCGAAAGCCUGACGGAGCAACGCCGCGUGAGUGAUGAAGGUCUUCGGAUCGUAAAACUCUGUUAUUAGGGAAGAACAAAUGUGUAAGUAACUAUGCACGUCUUGACGGUACCUAAUCAGAAAGCCACGGCUAACUACGUG